AUGAUGAGAACGGAAAGGGUAUAAGAUAUAAAAAGAUGAGAUUAGAUGGGGGCAUAUGUAAUGAUACAAAUGAUGGGACAAAUAACGACCAACGAUUUGUAUCUUGUCGAUACACAAAUACAAGAAAAAAUCGUUUGUAUACAGAUAGUAAUAUCAUUCAUCGUUAUCAUCGAAGUCACAGUCGGUGUAGCAAUAGUGGCGAUGUUUUUGGUACCAAAAUACAUUUCGAAAAAAGUAACAUGGGUACAUCUUUAUCAAUGAAUAAUUUAAUAAAUAGAACUAUAAAUAAAAACAGUUUGAAUAGGGAUGACAGUAGGUUAAGGAAUAAUGAUAAAAAAUUACUAUACUUGAACGAAUUUGAUGUUUGUUUGGAGUGUAUUCAUACUAAUCAAAGGGUGUGCUGUUACAGAAUAGUACUAACAAUUUUUAUAUUUCUUUUUGAUCAUUCGAAAUGUAUAUCGGAAUAUUACAAAUAUAUGCUUAAAGUCGGUUUGAUGAAUAGUGAGUUUAAAAAACAUGUUGAUGAUACAAAAGAAAACGGAAAGAUACAAUACCGUUUUGAAAUAUGUAGAUGUAAAAAAAAUAUAUGUAAAUAUUUAUUUCUUUAUCACCAUCGUAAUAAUAACUUUAUAAAAAAGUUGAUGUAUUGUUUUUUACACAUGUUAAUAGAAAUAAACUACAAAAAAAAAGAAAAAAAAAAAACGAAUGGGAUGGGUGAUAUGAGAAUUGCGGAUAGUUUUGUAAAUAAGUUUUAUAAUGAGUUUUAUAAUAAGGGGUAUGUGAACAAACGUGUAAAAAGUUGUAUAAGUUUAUGCAAUGACGACACGUGGAAAAACAAAUUAAAAAUGUUAGCUGACCAAGUCAUUAAAAGAAUUGCAUUAAUAUUAUCAAAUCGUUUCGUACUAGCUAAGAAUAGUAUAUUUAUUUAUAUAAAGAAUCAUAUGAAUGAAUUGGAUGUUUCUACUUUUAUAUAUACUUUGUGUAAUGUAAUAAAUUAUCAUUCUUUGUUUUUAGAUACUGCUAUAUAUGGUCUAUAUGUUAUAGAAACAGUUUUAAAAUGUAUAUUACAUAUACAGCCGAUUGAAAUAAAAAAGUGUAUGCAAACAUCUUUUUUUUCUGAAUUAUGCAUAUGUAUAUGUAAUAUAUGUAAUAAACCUAAGAUAAAAAAAAAAACAUUUGGUUUAUUACUAUUAAUAAGAGUUAUUAAAAUUUUACAUCCGCAGUGGGUACAGUCAAAUGUGUAUAACAUAAUUUAUGUUUUAUUGUCUUGUUAUGAGCAGUCUGAAUUACAAUAUGAAAUAAGCAUUAAAUUGUUAUUAAAAGAAUGUACUGGUUUAGUUUUUUCUUCUUUAUUAAUUGGUUAUGUUGGAGAAGUAAAUAUGU
rnacentral:lncRNA from 1 species